GGUGAGAACAGCACCAGUCUCUUCUAGUCAUUAACAAAGAAUACAGUGGCACUGUGUUCCAACCUCCCCACCUGCUAUUUGAUGCGGGAAGUGUGCCUUUUGGUCACAAAGGACCCUGAUUAUUGUAAUAUCAGAAGAAGCCCCACAGCGCUGGACUAGAAGGCAAGGUUCUGAUGCAUUAGUCCCAUGGCCACGGAAUCCAGACAGCAGACUCGUUACAAAAGCAUUCAGAGUAAAAGUAUAUUAUACAAGACACAGAGCAGGAACAAGAACUACUGAAUGAAUAAUUUAUACUUUUAUUUUUGGCUGCACAGGUCUUCGUUGCUAUGUGGGCUUUCUCUAGUUGCAGCAAGCAGGGUCUUCUUCUCUAAUUGCAGUGCACAGGCUUCGUGCUGCAGUGGCUUCUCUUGUGGAGCACAGGCUCUAGGCGAGUGUGCUUCAGUAGCUGGGGCUCGCACGCUAUAGAGCAUGAGCUUAGUAGCUGUGACACAUGGGGCUUAGUUGCCCUACAGCAUGUGGGAUCUUGGAUCAGGGAUUGAACCCACAUCUCUUGCAUUGGCAGGUGGAUUCUUCACCACUGAGCCACCAAGGAAGUCCUGAAUGAGUCUUGGAAUGGGAAGUGCUGGAUGGUACAAGGGAUGUUACUGGCAAGUUCCACAUAGCCUCAAUGUUUAGGAAAGACUCCCAUGAAGAAAUGUUAUUAAACUGAGACUCAAAAGAUGCUAGCCAGGCAAAGAGGACAGGGAAGAGUGUUCUAGAUGGAAGAAACAGCACAUGCGAUGCCAGGCCUGUGGCUGGAGAGAACCUCACCUAUUGAAAGAACCAAAAGAAACCCAGAACAGCUAGAACAAAGAGAGUUCCUGGGAAGGUGGUGAAAGAGGCUCUGGAGAGGUAGGGAAGGCCCAGGCUAGGGUGGGACUUAGGCCACAUUGAAGAUUCUAAACUUCAACUAAAGGACAAUGGGAAACCAUCAGUUUCCUUAUCGUAAAGUGAGAAAUAAUAAUCUCAGAGCUACCAGGAAACAAGAUGAGAAAAACGCAAGUGACAGGUCUUUGUAAGUUACAAAGCAUGAUAGGAAUGUUACUAACAUUGCAAUAUCAUUAGUAGUAAUAAUAAGCAGGGCUGCUUUCUCAAGUAAUAGAAGUAACAGUACAAAUCUUCUAAAUGGGAACAUGAGGCAGUUAUUCCCACCCCACCUCCCCAGCCAUGCUGUGCAACUUGCAGGAUCUUAGCUCCUGGAUCAGGGAUCGAACCUGUGCCUCUCCACAGUGAAAUCAAGAGUCUUGACCACUGGAUAGCCAGGGAAGUCCCUGAAACAGUCUAUAGAGUAUAAAACUCUGACUUAUUCUAGGGAACUGACAGAAAGGUCAGAAGUUUAUUUUAGUUGAAACUUGCAGUGUGAGGUUCAUGAAACCCAGGCGUUAGCUCAGCUCUUUGGAGCAGGAUCACACCAUUUAUGGCCAUGUGUGUUUCUCAACUCCACACUGACUCCCCAACACCACUUGCAGAAAAGAUCAGUAUUCUGCCUCCUUCUCAAACCCACCAGAGCAUAAUGGCUGACACAUUCUUUCCUCUUCAUUUCUUCCAGCCAGAGCUGGCUCCCAGUAUCUCCUUCCUAGGUCAGCUUUUGUGGAAGCUGUCACUGUUCCCAAAACAUUACACUUUUCUGAGCUCUUCGUGGCAAGAUAAUUAUCCCAGUUAGCACCUGCAUUACAUUUUACAAAAAAUUUGACACCUUUCCAAUUCUGUGACGUUUUACUUUUACAAUGGUUCUGUGAAGUAGGCACAACUGAAUAUCACAGAAACGAUGCAAAACCGGGAGCUCUCCUAUCUGACCGGCACAGAUAUGCUACCAGGAGAACUUAAUGGUUCAUUUUAGGCCAUUUCCUCUCUGCCUGCAGCACAUUAAGUUCUAUCCAACAAUAGAAGGGCAGAGUUUCUGCAAGUGUAGCAUUUGAUCUGGUCAACCAAACCAGACUUAAUUCUUCCCCAGAGGUCAAUAUCAUCAGUGCUCCACACUACCACACACCAGAGGUUGCAAACUUGCAUUUUUGUCUUUGACAUUCAGAAUAUCUUUAAAACUUUUUGAAAAUUUUAACGCCAGUUUUUAAAAGUCAAAUUGCACAUCAAAGUUCAGAUUUCUAGCUUUUCCCUUUAAAAAAAAUUUUUAUUGGAAUAUAGUUGAUUUACAGUGUUAAGUUUCAGUUGUAUCCAGCUUUUCUUGAAAAAUCAGAUCUGACUUCAGUCUUUGGAGAUGAGCAGAGUCUUCUGACCAACACACUCUACCUCUGUCCCUACUCUGACUAGAUCUUUUAUGAAGGUCCCAUGACAGUUCCAGAAUAUGAGUUUGUAUACCUACCCCCAUACACACCAGGC
ensembl:lncRNA